GGCUCAGGAUGAACGCUGGCGGCGUGCUUAACACAUGCAAGUCGAACGAAGAUGCCGGAGUGCUUGCACUUUGGCAGACUGAGUGGCGGACGGGUGAGUAACGCGUGGGUAACCUGCCUUAUACAGGGGGAUAACAGUUGGAAACGACUGCUAAUACCGCAUAAGCGCACGGUAUCGCAUGAUACAGUGUGAAAAAACUCCGGUGGUAUAAGAUGGACCCGCGUCUGAUUAGCUUGUUGGUGAGGUAACGGCCCACCAAGGCGACGAUCAGUAGCCGGCCUGAGAGGGUGAACGGCCACAUUGGGACUGAGACACGGCCCAGACUCCUACGGGAGGCAGCAGUGGGGAAUAUUGCACAAUGGGCGAAAGCCUGAUGCAGCGACGCCGCGUGAGCGAAGAAGUAUUUCGGUAUGUAAAGCUCUAUCAGCAGGGAAGAUAAUGACGGUACCUGACUAAGAAGCACCGGCUAAAUACGUG
rnacentral:rRNA from 1 species